rnacentral:rRNA from 1 species
UACGAAGGGGGCUAGCGUUGCUCGGAAUCACUGGGCGUAAAGCGCACGUAGGCGGCUUCUUAAGUCAGGGGUGAAAUCCUGGAGCUCAACUCCAGAACUGCCUUUGAUACUGAGGAGCUUGAGUCCGGGAGAGGUGAGUGGAACUGCGAGUGUAGAGGUGAAAUUCGUAGAUAUUCGCAAGAACACCAGUGGCGAAGGCGGCUCACUGGCCCGGUACUGACGCUGAGGCACGAAAGCGUGGGGAUCAAACAGG